ACGAAGGGUGCAAGCGUUACUCGGAAUUACUGGGCGUAAAGCGUGCGUAGGUGGUUGUUUAAGUCUGCUGUGAAAGCCCUGGGCUCAACCUGGGAAUUGCAGUGGAUACUGGGCGACUAGAGUGUGGUAGAGGAUAGUGGAAUUUCCGGUGUAGCAGUGAAAUGCGUAGAGAUCGGAAGGAACAUCUGUGGCGAAGGCGACUAUCUGGGCCAACACAGACACUGAGGCACGAAAGCGUGGGGAGCAAACAGGA
rnacentral:rRNA from 1 species